GAAUGAGUUUUGUUGCUAGCUGCUUUCCUUUUCUUUCUUACCGUCUUUCAUUACAGGCAGCAUCUUCUCCAGUUUGAAAAUACAUUUUGGAGCUCUAAUUUCAGGGUAUUAUGGGGACAGCAGUGCUAUAUUUUUGGUAUCAGCAGCAUAGUGUUUGCACAGUGUGAUUAUGGGUGACCUCAAUGACUCAUUAUUCAUGAGAGUAUUCGCUUAACAUGCAGGGCAGGGAUGUUAUUACAGGGUUCACAAAUCCUUAGAAAUUAAGAAUUGCCUGUUAAAUUAUGAAAAGAUAACUUGCCUAAAUGCGCAGUGCCAGACUUGCAAAAUAGGUACGUGUGUGUGUGUGUGUGAGAGAGUGAGAGAGAGAGAGAGAGAGAGAGAGAGAGAGAGAGAGAGAGCGCGAAUGUGUGUGUGAGACAGGACCUGGUUUGUGUUACAGGAUCUCUUCCACACUAGCCUUUAUUUUCACAAUGCAGUUGUUUCCUUUAUCACCCUCAUAGAUGCAAAAGUGAUCAUGAGGACGUGGCAGAGGCAGGCAAGAGACAGAGGGCUUGCGAAAAAAAACCUGAACAACAGAACUGGUCAACAGGGUUGCUGAGAUCUUGUCACAGGAGUGCGAGCCACCUUCUGCAUGAAACCUGAGAAAGACGGCACGCUGGUGUUAAUGAGGAUCUCACCCGGCAGUGCCAACAAACAGCCCGCCUUUCCAAAACUGACAAGUCAUCAGAAGACAGCUCAGCAAUGCGGCCCAUCUCAGAACUUCAGCACCUCAGCCACCUCUGCUGCACAGGCAGGGACAGACACUAUAUUUCACAUGGAAAAUAUGUAUUAGCAAGUGUGCGUUCCCUCCGCGACCCUGACCAGGACAAGCACGUGUAGAUAAUGGAUGUAUGCAUUUCAUAUGUACUACCGGCACAUGCCCGGUUCUUUUUUCAUAUUGUUUUAACCUCCGUGCCACCUCAAAGAAAUGGAAAAUGCUGCAAUAUAUUGAAAAGAAAUCUAUUACAAUCAGAAAAGGUGUUGCAGCACUUCACAAUCUAUUGACUAAAACAGCCUUUGUUCGCAUUUUGGGAUAUAAUGUUUGCAUAUGAAAAUGCAUGUUGUCUAUCAUUCAACUUUGUAUCUCAACUUCUGUAGUCACAUAAUUUUGCAAUAAAAAUAUUCCUCUACAAUGCCAGAGAGAAAAUGCCAAUAUAAUUACCAUUGAAAAUGCCUAAUGGAUUUUAUUCUUCAUAUUACAUAAAAAAUUUUAAAAAUCAAAAAACCCACUGCAGAUGCACAGUUAAUAACGGAAAAAGUACAGUAUAUUGACACUUCUCUUGCAAAAUAAAAAGCACUCCA